rnacentral:rRNA from 1 species
UACGUAGGGACCAAGCGUUGUUCGGAUUUACUGGGAGUAAAGGGCGCGUAGGCGGCAAUUCAAGUCAGCUGUGAAAUCUCCGGGCUUAACUCGGAACGGUCAGCUGAUACUGCUUUGCUAGAGUGCAGAAGGGGCAAUCGGAAUUCUUGGUGUAGCGGUGAAAUGCGUAGAUAUCAAGAGGAACACCUGAGGUGAAGACGGGUUGCUGGGCUGACACUGACGCUGAGGAGCGAAAGCGUGGGGAGCGAACAGG